rnacentral:misc_RNA from 1 species
UAGUCCCGUAAUUUCGGAAUCAGACGCGCCACCGGAUUCAACAUGAGUCAAACUGGUGCAUACAGCACAGCAGAUGUUAAUUUAAACGAGUUAAUUGAUAGUAUAAUCGGAUGAAUGAAGAUUAUUUAUACAGAAGUGCAUCGGAAAUAAUUUGAGAAUCAACGGGAUGGCACUGCGAGUAUAUCACAUGAUCUUCCGAAUGGUUAACCUGUACGCUGAUAAUUAUAUGACAGCACCCAGACGAUUGCACCCGAUGAGAUUCCUAUGCGUGCUGAUACUCCAUUUUACGAUUAGUAAAGUGAUUACUACUGGAAGUAAAUGUCAUCAUUUGGCAGUAUGAGAAUGGAAGUGCAUUAUCAAAAGCAGAGGGGCUAGACUGAUGGGUGGAAGAUUGA